rnacentral:rRNA from 1 species
UACGAAGGUGGCAAGCGUUGUUCGGAUUUACUGGGCGUAAAGGGAGCGUAGGUGGUUAGGUAAGCCCUCCGGGAAAUCUUCAGGCUUAACCUGAAAAGGUCGGGGGGGACUGCCUAGCUAGAGGGCGGGAGAGGAGCGCGGAAUUCCCGGUGUAGCGGUGAAAUGCGUAGAGAUCGGGAGGAACACCAGUAGCGAAGGCGGCUCGCUGGGCCACACCUGACGCUGAGACGCGAAAGCGUGGGGAGCAAACAGG